rnacentral:rRNA from 1 species
GGAUCGGAGUCUGCAACCCGACUCCGUGAAGCUGGAUUCGCUAGUAAUCGCGCAUCAGCCAUGGCGCGGUGAAUACGUUCCCGGGCCUUGUACACACCGCCCGUCAAGCCAUGGAAGCCGGGGGCGCUUGAAGUGCGUUGCCGCAAGGCGCGCCCUAGAGCGAAACCGGUGACUGGGGCUAAGUCGUAACAAGGUAUC